UCCUAUUGAAAAGUGGCAUGGUCAUCGUCACACAGGAUCUGAGGAGCAGCCCUAGCUGAUGUGAAAGCUGGUGGCACUCCGGCAACUGAACAACAGCUUCAGACUCAAGUGCAUCAGGGGAGUAAGCAUAGCUGUGUGUCGUAUGGCACCCUGAAGUGAAGAAUGCCAGUUUGGGCAUGCCUGGAUGAAAUUAGCUCCCUGGGUAUUCUGCAGCUCUGUUUAUUUAUACCCAUGUCGCUAAGUGUCCAGAUUCUUAUUUAAUUACGACACGACUCGUUCAAAAAAGGCCUGAGCUCUGAUGCUGGAAAUCUGAAAGGCUUGACGUUUCACUUCAGUACCACCAAAGUUGUGUCUAAUUUGGUCCAAAUUAAUCAACAGUAUGAUGAAGUUUUCUCAGAACAUUUACUGUGCUGAAAACACUCUGUCCCAAUUUCACACUUUGCAGUUUGGAAGGAACAGAAGUAUCUUCAGGUUUUCAAGAUAUUGAUUGCUGCUCAUUAUAUUAAAGUGUAUUUUAGGAA